CCAAUACUACUCAACCUCUCUUAUCUCAAGCAAUAUCUCAAACUCGGGUGGAGAGUCUAUCAUACAAGGCUUAAUUACAAUCAUUAUUUAACCAUUUGCUUUUUUGUCACGGAGCCAAAGUUUCGGAACAAUAAAAAAACAUAUACACAGGUUAGUAUAGAAAACAAUAAACAAAUAUAUACAUAGAAAAAAUAAAUAAAC
rnacentral:lncRNA from 1 species